rnacentral:rRNA from 1 species
GACGAACGCUGGCGGCGUGCUUAACACAUGCAAGUCGAACGGAAAGGCCCUGCUUUUGUGGGGUGCUCGAGUGGCGAACGGGUGAGUAACACGUGAGUAACCUGCCCUUGACUUUGGGAUAACUUCAGGAAACUGGGGCUAAUACCGGAUCGGAGCUCCUGCUGCAUGGUGGGGGUUGGAAAGUUUCGGCGGUUGGGGAUGGACUCGCGGCUUAUCAGCUUGUUGGUGGGGUAGUGGCUUACCAAGGCUUUGACGGGUAGCCGGCCUGAGAGGGUGACCGGCCACAUUGGGACUGAGAUACGGCCCAGAAUCCUACGGGAGGCAGCAGUGGGGAAUAUUGCACAAUGGGCGGAAGCCUGAUGCAGCAACGCCGCGUGCGGGAUGACGGCCUUCGGGUUGUAAACCGCUUUCGCCUGUGACGAAGCGUGAGUGACGGUAAUGGGUAAAGAAGCACCGGCUAACUACGUG